CUCGAAAGAGGCGCUAAUACCGGAUACGAACUUUGCAGGCAUCUGCGAAGUUGGAAAGUUUUUCGGUCUGGGAUGGGCCCGCGGCCUAUCAGCUAAUUGGUGAGGUAUCGGCUCACCAAGGCGACGACGGGUAGCCGGCCUGAGAGGGCGACCGGCCACACUGGGACUGAGACACGGCCCAGACUCCUACGGGAGGCAGCAGUGGGGAAUAUUGCGCAAUGGGCGAAAGCCUGACGCAGCAACGCCGCGUGCGGGAUGAAGGCCUUCGGGUUGUAAACCGCUUUCAGCAGGGAAGAAGCGAAAGUGACGGUACCUGCAGAAGAAGCACCGGCUAACUACGUGCCAGCAGCCGCGGUAAUACGUAGGGUGCAAGCGUUGUCCGGAUUUAUUGGGCGUAAAGAGCUCGUAGGCGGUUAGUCACGUCGGAUGUGAAAUCCCAGUGCUUAACACUGGGCCUGCAUUCGAUACGGGCUGACUAGAGUGUUGUAGGGGAGACUGGAACUCCUGGUGUAGCGGUGAAAUGCGCAGAUAUCAGGAAGAACACCGGUGGCGAAGGCGGG
rnacentral:rRNA from 1 species